rnacentral:snoRNA from 1 species
GUGAUCGACGACGACGAGAUGGCUCACUUUAUUCUAAACGGUCUUGAUUUUGAGUAUAAUCCGUUUGUGUCAUCUAUGCUUGGUCGCGUUGGAUCUGUUUCUUUGAGUGAAUUAUACUCUCAGCUCUUAGCCUAUGAUA